rnacentral:sRNA from 1 species
CUUGGUCAUUUAGAGGAAGUAAAAGUCGUAACAAGGUUUCCGUAGGUGAACCUGCGGAAGGAUCAUUAAAGAUUUUAAUUAUUUGUGAAAUUAAAACGAUAUUAACAAAAAAUCAUACAAUCAAUUAUAAAAAAAAUCAAAACUUUUAACAAUGGAUCUCUUGGUUCUCGUAUCGAUGAAGAACGCAGCGAAACGCGAUAUUUCUUGUGAAUUGCAGAAGUGAAUCAUCAGUUUUUGAACGCACAUUGCACUUUGGGGUAUCCCCCAAAGUAUACUUGUUUGAGCGUUGUUUCUCUCUUGGAAUUGCAUUGCUUUUCUAAAAAAUCGAAUCAAAUUCGUUUGAAACAUCCAUUCUUCAACCUCAGAUCAAGUAGGAUUACCCGCUGAACUUAAGCAUAUCAAUAAGCGGAGGAAAAGAAACCAACAGGGAUUGCCUUAGUAACGGCGAGUGAAGCGGCAAAAGCUCAAAUUUGAAAUCGGCCAUCAGGUCGAGUUGUAAUUUGUAGAUUGUACUUUGAGAGCGGAUUAAAGUCUGUUGGAACACAGCGCCUUAGGGGGUGACAGCCCCGUUAAAAUCUAUUCUCAUUGUAAGGUACUUUCGAAGAGUC